UACGUAGGGUGCGAGCGUUAAUCGGAAUUACUGGGCGUAAAGCGUGCGCAGGCGGUUGUAUAAGUCAGAUGUGAAAUCCCCGGGCUCAACCUGGGAACUGCAUUUGAGACUGUACGGCUAGAGUGUAGCAGAGGGGGGUAGAAUUCCACGUGUAGCAGUGAAAUGCGUAGAGAUGUGGAGGAAUACCGAUGGCGAAGGCAGCCCCCUGGGCUAUUACUGACGCUCAUGCACGAAAGCGUGGGGAG
rnacentral:rRNA from 1 species